rnacentral:lncRNA from 1 species
AUUGUUGCCUCCCGUAGCAUUGAAGGCAAGGGAAGCGAGCGAGCAUUUGGCCUAGAUAAAAUGGUCCUUUUCCUAAAUUAGCCAUGGAUGGGAAAGGGAUUUGGUUUUCCUUAAUUCUCCGUACUGGCCAAUGAUUAUAACGUUAUAGACCGUUUCGUCAACAGUGAAAGAGAGGAGGGUGGCAUUGGCAUUUCUCUACUAUAGGGAAGAGGAAGUCACAGGAUGAGUGAGAGGUUGAGACAUCUCACACCCACAUACGUAGCUGCUGGCAACACUCUUCGGAUGACAGUCCUUCCUCUCUUCAGGAGCCCCUCUGUUGUUGACUUCUUGCUGUAAGUGGGGGUCUAAAAUGCGGUGUUUGCCCCAUAACCCACCAAACGCCUUUCAUUUGGGAAACACUGGUCCUCAGUUAAAUCACAGACAUUGAUCCUCUCUCUCCUCUCAAUUCAAUUCAAAGGGGCUUUGUUGGCAUGGGAAACAUGUUUACAUUGCAAAAGCAAGUGAAAUAAACAAAAGUGAGAAUAAACCCAAAAAACAACAACAAAAAACAUAAACAAAUGUACAGUAAACAUUCACUAUAAAGGUUUCAAAAGGAUAAAGAUGUUUCAAAUUGUGUAGUAUCAGCAACAUACAGUGUUCUUAACAAUGUGCAAAUAGUUAAGAUCAGUAAACACAUACAUAUUGGUUGUAUUUAAAAUGUUAUUUGUACUCCUGGUUGCCCUGUUUUCAUGGCAACGGGUCACAAAUGUUGCUGCUGUGAUUGCACAUAGGUAUCACAUAGGAGGGAGAGGGAGUGUUAACACCUACACAAUCAAAGUAUUUUAAAAC